rnacentral:rRNA from 1 species
GUGAANCCGCGAAUAGCUCAUUACAAUAGCCGUUGUCUCUUGGAUCUUACAAUCUAAUAGGAUAACUGUGGUAAUUCUAGAGCUAAUACUUGCUAUUAAGGCUGACCUUACGGGACGCUUGCAUUUAUUAGUUCAAGAUCAAUCGACUUCGGUCGUUUCUUGAUGACUCUGAAUAACUCAGCAGAUCGCACGGUCUAGUACCGGCGACAUUUCCUUCGAGUGUCUACCUUAUCAACUUUCGAUGGUAGUUUAUGUGACUACCAUGGUGGUAACGGGUAACGGAGAAUCAGGGUUUGACUCCGGAGAGGGAGCCUGAGAAACGGCUACCACUUCUAAGGAAGGCAGCAGGCGCGCAAAUUACACCAUCUCAGUUCGAGGAUGUAGUGACGAAACAUAUCGAGACGAUGCCCUUUCGGGUGUCGUCAUUGACAUGAGUUGAAUGUAAAAAAUUCUUCGAUGAACUAGUGGAGGGCAAGUCUGGUGCCAGCAGCCGCGGUAAUUCCAGCUCCGCAAGUGUAUGUCUAUGCUGCUGCGGUUAAAAAGCUCGUAGUCUGAUUCGCGUACUUAGCACUGAGUGUGACCUUUCGGUCACUACUCUGUUGCGGUACAUUAUCGGCAGUUUGUCGUUGAUGCUCUUCAUUGGGUGUCAGCGGCUGCUGUCAAGUUUACUUUGAACAAAUUAGAGUGCUCAACACAGGCGUUUCGCUUGUAUAGUCUUGCAUAGAAUAAUAGAAUAAGAUUUUUGUCUUAUUUCUGUUGGUCUCAAAGACAAAAAUAAUGAUUAAGAGGGACAGACGGGGACAUUUGUACUGCGACGUUAGAGGUGAAAUUCUUGGAUCGUCGCAAGACAANCUACUGCGAAAGCAUUUGUCAAGAAUGUUUUCAUUGAUCAAGAACGAAAGUUAUGGGUUCG